ensembl:miRNA
AACAUAUACAUCUUAAGUUUCUUAUGGGGCUGGAAUAUAACUCAGAGGUAUGGCUGCUCACCAGUAUGUGCAAGGCACUGAGUUCCAGCCCUGUACCAAGAAAAAGAAUGCUGAAGAUAUGUC